CAUAUACAAGUUAUCUACCCAGAACGGACAAUGCGAUGGCCUUUAGUUUAUCCCCAGGGUUGUACAGUCAUCACCACAGUCACAUAUGUCCAUAUAUGUGGUGGAUAUUCCAUCACCUGUUGCCCCUUCGCUGUCACCCCCAAAAUCUCCAGUGUUGACCAAUGACCGCUCUGCUUUCUCUCUCUGGAUCUGUGGUCUGGACAUUUCAUAGAAAUAGAAUCACAGUACAGUAUUUGCCCUCUUGUGUAUGGUUCUUCACUUAGCAUAAUGUUUUCUUUUCAGCGCUGGAGAUUGAACCCAGGGCCUUGCACAUGCUAGGCAAGUGCUCUCCCACUGAGCCACACCCUAACCCAGCAUUGUCUUCGAAGUUCAGCCAUGUUCUGUCAGCAGGUAGCUAUGGAUCAGGGCCAUAUGGACAACAGGAAGCAGGAUGGAGACCCCACCGGCUGUCCCUUGCUGCUGCUCCCUGCGCUGCCCGCGGG
rnacentral:lncRNA from 1 species